AGCUGGUCGCGUCUAAGUACGUGUGUCUGCAUCGUCGCACAUAUUUAGCACGACUGGCUGU
rnacentral:pre_miRNA from 1 species